GCUUGUCUCAAAGAUUAAGCCAUGCAUGUCUAAGUAUAAACUGCUUAUACUGUGAAACUGCGAAUGGCUCAUUAAAUCAGUUAUAGUUUAUUUGAUGGUACCUACUACUCGGAUAACCGUAGUAAUUCUAGAGCUAAUACGUGCGCACAACCCGACUUCUGGAAGGGUCGUAUUUAUUAGAUACAAAACCAAUGCCCUUCGGGGCUCCUUGGUGAUUCAUGAUAACUAUACGAAUCGCACGGCCUUGCGCCGGCGAUGGUUCAUUCAAAUUUCUUCCCUAUCAACUUUCGAUGUUUGGGUAUUGGCCAAACAUGGUUGCAACGGGUAACGGAGGGUUAGGGCUCGACCCCGGAGAAGGAGCCUGAGAAACGGCUACUACAUCCAAGGAAGGCAGCAGG
rnacentral:rRNA from 1 species